CCGAAGACGUUUGGCUUUCGAUCGUGUUUGGUUCCAGCAUGAAGGCUUCUUCAUUCACGUAGCCAGAUCGGUUAUUGCGGAAAUUUUAAAACAAAUUAAAUCAAUAAACUCUACUUUCCGCUGGCCCUCAAGGUCACCUGAAUUGACUGCUCCAGACUCUUUUAUGGGGUUAUGCCAAGCAAGAUGUUUACAAAAAAAAAACUGAUUGAAUUUAAGCAGUCCACUUAAUCGAUAAUGCAGGCAAUCCUGACUUCAACCUUUCUAGUCGCAAUGAAUAAUUUUCAAAUUAGGUGUCGCAUAUUCGUGGCUGAGCAUGGAGGUUAUUUACGGUAAAAAACUUAUAAAAAUUAUUAAUUGUAUAAAAUAAAAUAAAAACAAACAUAACCUGCUAUUUGUUAUAUAUAUUCGGUGUAAAAUAAAGUACAUUAACGAAAAUCAUUAUAAGUAUUUGGUACGUAUAACUGAGGUAAUUCGUUGACCAAAUUUUUUUUUGCAUUAAACUAAAAUAAAGGGUCUACCAAUAAGAACUGCGUGAUGUUAAAAUGAAUUAAAUUGAAAAAACAAUUUUAACAAUGCGAUAUACUAUAGAACAACUAGAAAAAGAUUAUUCACGAACUUCAUUGGAAGAAGAUUGAAUGAUGUGUACGGUAAAAAUUAACCGGAAGUUCAAGAGUCUUUAUAUUAGGGACUUAAGGGCUAAGAGACGUAUUGACCCUAUUUGAUCCAUUUUUGGCUCAAGAGUACACUAUUAGCUGAAUCAAAUAUUCUCAGAGUUACAAUAAUAUAUCAAACAAAUUGGCCGAUAUUUUCGGCACUGGGGUUUAAGUACUUACAUAUUGUUAGGUAGUUCACAAGGUAUCGUAUAUUGUCAUAUACAUAUGUUGUAAGGCAUAGUUUUGUACGACUGUUGUAGAGCCGUUGUUGCUGUUUUAAAUGCAAAAAUAUAAAUUUGACGACACAACUCUGCGUACUGUGUUUAUUCAGUGCACCUUUGAAUCAGCUGUGUUUGUUUAUCUUUCUUCUUCUUAUUGUUUGCAUUUAGUUGAAAUAAAUUGGCCGCAAAUACGUUAAACGAAUAAGUAAAUGGAUAAAAUGAGCACAAACGGUGAAGUUGAGGUAAAUAUAAUAGAAAAUGCUGAAUUAUUUUUUAAUUUAAACGUUUGUUAAUACUUUCUUUUAGUUUUUACCAAAACGCAAGCGCUACAACCCCAAAAGCGUUGGAAAGUUGCCGAGGAAAAAGCGUUGAUUGAAUUCCUUCUAGAGAAUCGCUAUUUUGAGAAACCAUCGGCACGGCUAUUUUAUAAUCGCUUCGCGAAUGAAAAACAAAUCCUGGUCGAGUGGAAAUCAGCGCGCUCAAAAGUAAGAAAUAUGCGAUCUGCAUAUAAUAAAGCGAAGGAAUGGGAAGGAAGUACUGGCGCUGGUUGCAUGGAUGGCGAUACUAUAAAAAGCGUUUUGCUCAAAAAAUUUCGCUAUUUUUACGAAUUUGACGAUAUUUUCGGUGCCCAACUUAACGCUUGUGCUGUAGUUGAAGAAAUAAUGGAAAGUGCUGAUACUACCAUUGAAAUAUUAAGUCCUGUGCAAAU